rnacentral:ncRNA from 1 species
CGAUAGAGGCGCGGCGCGCAUCAGUAGCUCCUUCCAAAUCAGCGGCAGGAACCGCCGGAGUGAAAGGGAACGCCGCCGAAGGGUCUCCGGCUUCCUGGCCGGGCGACGCCUGGGCCGUCGGAGAACAUCCGCCGGACUGCUGCGGGGGAAACGCCGCAGAGCGCUGUC